UUUUAGUUGCCUUAGCAAGCAAAUUUUCAAGUAUAUCAAUAUCAAACAUAUAACUUUUGCAUGAUAAGCAUUCAACAGGUUCAAUAGUAGCAUUUGCAUCUGAUAAUUUAAUUUCUAAGGUAUUAACUCUAUUUCUUAACACAACUUCAUCAUCAAGCAGUUUAUCAUAUUUUAACUUUAAUUCAUUAUGUUCCUUUCUUAAUUUUUUAUGAGCGGCAUCAAGUUUUUCAGAUUCAUUCAUCAAAUCAAAGAAAGCCUUUUGUAAAUCUAAUUCACUGGAUUCAAAACUGGAGUCACUUACUUGGCUUCCUGUAUCUUCAGAAUCUGCCAUAAGGCAUAGGUUGGCUUCUUCUUCUGUGUCACUUGAGCUUGUUGAACUAGAAGCAUUAUCCUCCCAAGCUAUGUAUGCUUUCUUUUUCCUUUGAA
rnacentral:lncRNA from 1 species